GCGUUUCGCUUUGUGUGGUGCACAAAGAAGCGUAACGACAGCACUGAAUGAUGGUUAACGGAGCGCAAGCGACGUUCAACAUACAAAGUCAAGCAGUGGAGCGCUUUGGGGUGGGGUGACUGCGUACCUUUUGUAUAAUGGGUCAGCGACUUAUAUUCUGUAGCAAGGUUAACCGAAUAGGGGAGCCGGAGGGAAACCGAGUCUUAACCGGGCGUUAAGUUGCAGGGUAUAGACCCGAAACCCGGUGAUCUAGCCAUGGGCAGGUUGAAGGUUGGGUAACACUAACUGGAGGACCGAACCGACUAAUGUUGAAAAAUUAGCGGAUGACCUGUGGCUGGGGGUGAAAGGCCAAUCAAACCGGGAGAUAGCUGGUUCUCCCCGAAAGCUAUUUAGGUAGCGCCUCGUGAAUUCAUCUCCGGGGGUAGAGCACUGUUUCGGCUAGGGGGCCAUCCCGGCUUACCAACCCGAUGCAAACUGCGAAUACCGGAGAAUGUUAUCACGGGAGACACACGGCGGGUGCUAACGUCCGUCGUGAAGAGGGAAACAACCCAGACCGCCAGCUAAGGUCCCAAAGUCAUGGUUAAGUGGGAAACGAUGUGGGAAGGCCCAGACAGCCAGGAUGUUGGCUUAGAAGCAGCCAUCAUUUAAAGAAAGCGUAAUAGCUCACUGGUCGAGUCGGCCUGCGCGGAAGAUGUAACGGGGCUAAACCAU
rnacentral:rRNA from 1 species